GCUAUAAAAAGGGAGCCUUCGAUCCUAGUUCGAGAGUGGUAGUUGAGCAAACAUAGUCACAAGCCGAAAGGUUCUAAUACUUCGGCUUUCACAAAAUGGGGAAUGGAAGUUCUCGUGAACCAGAGAAUCAGGGAGACUUCAUCACAAUCCUUAGUAUUGAUGGUGGAGGAGUGAGAGGUAUCAUUCCUAGUGAAGUUCUAAGUGUUCUUGAAGCGAAGCUCCAGAAACUGGAUGUGGACAACAAGGAUGCAAGGAUUGCAGAUUAUUUUGACUUCAUUGCUGGGACAAGCACAGGAGGCCUCAUGACAGCUAUGCUUACGGCCCCAAAUGAUGAAAAACGACCUCUGUUUGCUGCAAAAGAUAUUGCCAAGUUUUAUCAAGACAAGAGUCCAAAUAUCUUUCUCAAAACACCUGAAACAAACCAACCUCCGUCCACUGAAGAGGAUUCCAGAAUCUCUGAUCCUGAUGAAGCGACGGAAGAACCUUUGACAACGUCCGCCGAAGUCAUUAAUACUCCAGCUACUUUUUUGCGGGGUAUUAUUGAUAUUAUCGUAGACCUCAGUCCUGAGGCGAAGGAUUAUGUAGAACCUCUUAAUACAUAUUUACUACAACCAAAAUAUGACGGUAAGAAUCUGCAAGAUACGAUUAAGGGACUUUUGGGAGAGAAACUAGCUCUCAGUGAGACUCUAACGAAUGUGAUAAUCCCCGCCUUCGACAUCAAGCAUUUUGGGCCUACCAUCUUUUCUACCUUAAAGGCCAAGCGUGACAGGUCAAUGGAUGCUCCACUAGCAGACGUUUGUAGGGCCACCUCUGCAGCACCGUAUUACUUUCCCCCUUAUCAUUUUAAAACCAGCAAGCCCUUCAACCUAGUUGAUGGCGGUGUUGCAGCCAAUAAUCCUUCUUUCCUAGCUGUGUGUGAGGCGAUGAAAGAACAAAAGACAGAUUUUCACAAAUUUGUUGUUCUUUCCCUUGGAACUGGAGCACCAGAUGCAAGUGGCAGGCUAGAGGUUAGAGACGGAAAAUGGGGAAUUGUUGAUUGGCUUUGGCAGGAUGACAAUUCCAACCCGUUGCUGGAUAUCUUGACGACUGCACCAGAUGAAAUGACUGAGAUGUACAUGUCUACCGUCUUUCAAUACAGUGGAUUAGAACACAACUAUACUCGGAUCCAGGUUGAGCUAAAACCCAGUGAAGGCAUGAUGGACAAUACAAGCAAAGAAAAUCUGGAGAGACUCAAGAAGAUCGGUCAGGAUUUAGCAGAACAAAAUGAUGCCAAACUUGAAGCUUUUGCAAGCCGAUUGGUCGAGAUACGGAAAGCUCGCUUAACCCACAUAUCUGCUUGACAAUUCAUAAAGUAGAACGUUGCUAAUGUCCAAGGCAACGUUGUCCAAGUUACCUGCCCGUAUGAUUAGUACUGUUUCAAAUUUGCCUGUGACUUUAGUGCUGGAGUCACUGUUAGCACUAGUUCAAGUCAGGCUUCGUUGUGAGGAACAACUUCUCCAAUGGAAGAAUCAGUGACAACAGCAACAAUGAUAGUGGAAGGAGAAAAAUAAUCACCAUUCAAUACAAAGGAGGAGAGUGAAGACGGCACCAGUGUAGAAGCUAUGGGUUGGGAAGAAAUUAGAAUUGGAUUUACAGUAGUAGAAGGGGCAACAUGACUUGCAGUGAUUGCGUCCAUUAAAGAGAAAGAAAAGAUAUAAUUUUAAUGCUGAGGAUUCUCAUACCAAGUUAAAAAUAAUAGAAGAUUUAAACUUAUUAGUCCGUCAAUUUUUUUUAUUUAUAUAUAUAGGGAAGUAUAUAAUAGUUGAUGUAGAAAUUAUAAGACAAAACUCAAUCUAUACACAUUGUAAAUAUAAUUACUAUAAUAUAUAAAUUAGCACUUUCUAUAA